rnacentral:rRNA from 1 species
CCUAAGGUAGCGAAAUUCCUUGUCAGGUAAGUUCUGACCCGCACGAAUGGCGUAAUGAUUUGGGCACUGUCUCAACAGCCCGCCCGGCGAAAUUGUAGUACUGGUGAAGAUGCCAGUUACCCGCAACUAGACGGAAAGACCCCAUGGAGCUUUACUGCAGCUUAAUACUGAAAUUCGGUAGUACAUGUACAGGAUAGGUGGGAGACUGAGAAAUACAGGCGUCAGCUUGUAUGGAGUCGCUGUUGGGAUACCACUCUUGUACUGCUGGGUUUCUAACCUGCGGCCGUGAAUCCGGUCGGGGGACACUGUUAGGCGGGCAGUUUGACUGGGGCGGUCGCCUCCAAAAGAGUAACGGAGGCGCUCAAAGGUUCGCUCAGCAUGGACGGAAACCAUGCCAAAGAGUGCAAACGCAAAAGCGAGCCUAACUGCGAGACUGACGGGUCGAGCAGUAACGAAAGUUGGAGUUAGUGAUCCGGUGGUAUGUGAGUGGAAAUGCCAUCGCUCAACGGAUAAAAGUUACCCUGGGGAUAACAGGCUGAUCUCCCCCAAGAGUCCACAUCGACGGGGAGGUUUGGCACCUCGAUGUCGGCUCAUCGCAUCCUGGGGCUGUAUUCGGUCCCAAGGGUUUGGCUGUUCGCCAAUUAAAGCGGCACGCGAGCUGGGUUCAGAACGUCGUGAGACAGUUCGGUCCCUAUCUGUUGCGGGCGUAAGAGAUUUGAAGGGAGCUGUCCUUAGUACGAGAGGACCGGGAUGGACGUACCUCUGGUGCACCAGUUGUCCUGCCAAGGGCAUAGCUGGGUAGCUAUGUACGGACGAGAUAAACGCUGAAAGCAUCUAAGCGUGAAACUCUCCCUAAGAUGAGAUCUCUCAUCCAUUAUGGAGUAAGGGCCCAGAAAGACGAUCUGGUUGAUAGGCCGGAGGUGGAAGCACGGUAACGUGUGCAGCUGACCGGUACUAAUAGCCCGAGGGCUUGACCUA